AGAGUUUGAUCAUGGCUCAGAUUGAACGCUGGCGGCAGGCCUAACACAUGCAAGUCGAACGGUAACAGGAAGCAGCUUGCUGCUUUGCUGACGAGUGGCGGACGGGUGAGUAAUGUCUGGGAAACUGCCUGAUGGAGGGGGAUAACUACUGGAAACGGUAGCUAAUACCGCAUAACGUCGCAAGACCAAAGAGGGGGACCUUCGGGCCUCUUGCCAUCGGAUGUGCCCAGAUGGGAUUAGCUAGUAGGUG
rnacentral:rRNA from 1 species